rnacentral:lncRNA from 1 species
ACCGUUUUAAUAUCCCUAUCUGUAAUAUUUCCCACUCAUUACUCUUGCGAGAUGAGAAUCUAGGAAUUGUACUAGACGCUAAAAUUGUUUUUCCAGCAAUGCCAUGUUAAAAUCAUGGAUCAUACGGAAACCAAGACCACCUUCCUCUUUUCGGUAACACAUGUUUUCCUAUUUUGCCAAUGCAUCUCUUGUUUAGGUGGAUUUGAGCUACACUAUAAUCGUGCAAUGGUACUCGCAUGAUUUUCACAGAUAUCCAAUGGUAACAUGAAACUAGACAUAACAUAGGUUGGAAGAGCUAGGGCAAUGGAUUUUAUCUCUCUCUUUUCUCCCUGUUCACACAUACAAAUCUUUCACAGGGAGAAAAAGUUAUGUCUUUGUUUUGAUGUAAUACAAUGUCUCUGAUCUAAAAAUUCACCUUUUGUUGUAUAAAAGUUCGGAUUUUUAGAUUGAUUUUUUUCUGUUUCGCGAAUGCAAAAGUGGAUGCUUUCAAAAUCUUAUUUCUUUCUCCGAUCUGUUUUGAACAAUAAAAUUCCAAUUUUAAAUCGGAUUUGUUGAUGAGAGUGGCUCUUUGAGUUCCAAAUCAACUCUGACCGAAUCUCUAAACAACCGGACCCAUCUUUUCUGAUUGGGCAAUAUCGCGUCUUUUUGAUGCGGCAGUCCUUAGUGGGCGGCUUAAAAGUUUCAGACUCAAAGUUAUUGGAAACGGUGGAUGCGGUAAGAUGAUGAAGAUUGUGGAAGAGUGGGAAAGGCGAUUGUAGAGACAACUCUAAAAGAUGGUGUUGGAAGAUGAAGCUUCGAAGCUUGCGACAUCUCAAUUCUUAGUGGAUGUGGGUGAUGCGAUUUUAGGCGGAGGAGACGAAAGGGUUUCAAGCCGCGGCGUAGAAGCUUUCCGACGCCCGAAAGAGAAGCUUCGGGAAGGAGAAGAUCGGGCUUGGGCAUGAUGGACGUGUGUCAAGGGACCUCCGAAUAGCGUAUGCGAGUAUAAUCAAGUCGGUGAUUA